UGGUGACGGUGAUAAUGAUGAUGACGAUGAUAGUGAUGAUGACGAUGAUAGUGAUAGUGGUCAUCAUCAUCAUCAUCAUCAUCAUCAUAAACAAAA
rnacentral:pre_miRNA from 1 species